AGAACUAAACAAACAUAACCUCACUUUUUAACAAAUCAACAUUGACCAUAAAAUUCGAGUUAAACACUUUUUUUUUUAAUAACCGGUUAUAAACUUAAUUAAAUACGUUAAAUAAAUAGUAACUGUUAAUAUAAUUUAGGUAUGUAUAAUUUCGUCUUAUUUCUUGAUGUCAGAUAAAGUGAUUGUUGAAUUUCAGCUAAUUUUAAUCUUAUAAUUUCAUUUAUAUACAAUUUAGUUGCCAAUGUAAAACAUUUUGUAGAAAAGUUUGUAGGCAACCUCAAAAAUGUAAAAUAUGCAUCCGUAGAUGUCAUCGAUUAUACUAAAACACGAAAACCUAAAUCUUGGUAUACAACAUUGAAGAAAAUUAUAUACUUGAAAAGAAUUGCUAUAAAGCCAAAGGAUAGUAAACAAUUAAAUUAGUAUAUUUUUAGAAAAAUCCCUUUAAUUAUUUAUUUAAAAUUAUAUGCUGUCAAAAUGACAGUUCCAAACAAAAUAUAACCUCACUUUUUAAGAAAUCAACAUUGUCCGUAAAAUGCAACUUACACACAUUUUACUGAACAACCGAUUGUAAAAUUGAAUAAAUAUGUUAAAAAAAGUUAACAACAAAUAAUUUUUGAUAUAAAUCUGGUAGGUAUGACUGUAUCAUUUUUCAACAUGGUAAAUAAGGUAAUUGUGUUGGGAUUCAGUUAGAAAAUAAGUUUGUUUAAUAAUUUUAGUGUUAUAGUUUCAUUAAUAUAAGAUUUAGUUUAUUACAGGUAAUAAAUUUUGUAGGGGUAUUAAUAGACAACAAGAAAAUGUAAAACAUGUUUCCGGAGAUGUCAUCAUCAUGAAAAUCACAAAGAAACUUUCUCUUUCUGGAAUACAACGUUGAAGAAGGGAGUGUAUUUAAAGACAACCUUAACAAAGCCAAAAGGUCUUCUUUCAUCUACAACUUGAGGAUUUAUAACAGGUGGCUUCUCUGGUUCAGCAGGUGGCUUCUCUGGUUCGCCAGGUGGCUUCUCUGGUUCAUCAGGUGGAUUAAAAACUCGAGCUGUAACAUUCAUUUUCCUACUCCAACAGCAACACUUCAGGCAAAGCAUGUUUUUCUAGAAGAAAAUAUAGAGAACUCGCGAGAUGUACACCAAAAAAAUAAUAAUUGAUUUUUGUAUUGAUUAAAAAUUGUUCUCCGAGAUUAAUCUAAUCGCGAACGCAUUUCCUUGUACUUAAAUUGUUGAGAUUAAAAGUUAUUAUUAUUU